UACGAAGGGGGCUAGCGUUGUUCGGAAUUACUGGGCGUAAAGCGCGCGCAGGCGGUCCUUUAAGUCAGGGGUGAAAGCCCAGAGCUCAACUCUGGAACUGCCUUUGAAACUAGAGGACUUGGGUACGGGAGAGGUGAGUGGAAUUCCGAGUGUAGAGGUGAAAUUCGUAGAUAUUCGGAAGAACACCAGUGGCGAAGGCGGCUCACUGGCCCGUUACCGACGCUCAGGCGCGACAGCGUGGGAGCAACAGG
rnacentral:rRNA from 1 species